rnacentral:rRNA from 1 species
AUUGAACGCUGGCGGCAGGCCUAACACAUGCAAGUCGAACGGUAACAGGAAACAGCUUGCUGUUUCGCUGACGAGUGGCGGACGGGUGAGUAAUGUCUGGGAAACUGCCUGAUGGAGGGGGAUAACUACUGGAAACGGUAGCUAAUACCGCAUAACGUCGCAAGACCAAAGAGGGGGACCUUCGGGCCUCUUUCCAUCGGAUGUGCCCAGAUGGGAUUAGCUAGUAGGUGGGGUAACGGCUCACCUAGGCGACGAUCCCUAGCUGGUCUGAGAGGAUGACCAGCGACACUGGAACUGAGACACGGUCCAGACUCCUACGGGAGGCAGCAGAGGGGAAUAUUGCACAAUGGGCGAAAGCCUGAUGCAGCCAUGCCGCGUGUAUGAAGAAGGCCUUCGGGUUGUAAAGUACUUUCAGCGGGGAUGAAGGGAGUAAAGUUAAUACCUUUGCUCAUUGACGUUACCCGCAGAAGAAGCACCGGCUAACUCCGUG